GAAAUGCGAUAAGUAAUGUGAAUUGCAGAAUUCAGUGAAUCAUCGAAUCUUUGAACGCAUAUUGCGCCCGCCAGUAUUCUGGCGGGCAUGCCUGUCCGAGCGUCAUUUCAACCAUCAAGCCCCGGGCUUGUGUUGGGGACCUGCGGCUGCCCGCAGGCCCUGAAAACCAGUGGCGGGCUCGCUGUCACACCGAGCGUAGUAGCAAUCACCUCGCUCAGGGCGUGCUGCGGGUUCCGGCCGUUAAACAGCCUUACAAAACCCAAGGUUGACCUCGGAUCAGGUAGGAAGACCCGCUGAACUUAAGC
rnacentral:misc_RNA from 1 species